UACGUAGGGGGCAAGCGUUGUCCGGAAUUAUUGGGCGUAAAGAGCUUGUAGGCGGUUUGUCGCGUCUGCCGUGAAAAUCCGGGGCUCAACCCCGGACUUGCGGUGGGUACGGGCAGACUAGAGUGUGGUAGGGGAGACUGGAAUUCCUGGUGUAGCGGUGAAAUGCGCAGAUAUCAGGAGGAACACCGAUGGCGAAGGCAGGUCUCUGGGCCACUACUGACGCUGAGAAGCGAAAGCGUGGGGAGCGAACAGG
rnacentral:rRNA from 1 species